rnacentral:rRNA from 1 species
UACGUAGGGGGCAAGCGUUGUCCGGAAUCAUUGGGCGUAAAGAGCGUGUAGGCGGCCCGAUAAGUCCGCUGUGAAAGUCCAGGCUCAACCCUGGGAUGCCGGUGGAUACUGUCGGGCUCGAAUCCGGAAGAGGUGAGUGGAAUUCCUGGUGUAGCGGUGAAAUGCGCAGAUAUCAGGAGGAACACCAAUGGCGAAGGCAGCUCACUGGGACGGUAUUGACGCUGAGACGCGAAAGCGUGGGGAGCAAACAGG